AGUGAACGCUGGCGGCAGGCCUAAUACAUGCAAGUCGAACGGCAGCACAGUGGAGCUUGCUCCAUGGGUGGCGAGUGGCGGACGGGUGAGGAAUACAUGGGAAUCUGCCCAGUCGUGGGGGAUAACGUAGGGAAACUUACGCUAAUACCGCAUACGCCCUUCGGGGGAAAGCCGGGGACCUUCGGGCCUGGCGCGAUUGGAUGAGCCCAUGUUCGAUUAGCUAGUUGGCGGGGUAAAGGCCCACCAAGGCGACGAUCGAUAGCUGGUCUGAGAGGAUGAUCAGCCACACUGGGACUGAGACACGGCCCAGACUCCUACGGGAGGCAGCAGUAGGGAAUAUUGGAAGAAGGGCGCAAGCCUGAUCCAGCCAUGCCGCGUGAGUGAAGAAGGCCCUCGGGUUGUAAAGCUCUUUUGUCCGGGAAGAAAAGCAUCGGGCUAAUACCUCGGUGUUCUGACGGUACCGGAAGAAUAAGCACCGGCUAACUUCGUG
rnacentral:rRNA from 1 species